CGUGCAGGUGGUCUGUUAAGUUCGGCGUGAAAGCGCCCGGCUAAACCGGGCGAGGUCGUCGGAGACUGGCGGACUAGAGGACGGUAGAGGCGGGUGGAAUUCCGGGUGUAGUGGUGAAAUGCGUAGAGAUCCGGGGGAACACCAGUGGCGAAGGCGACCCGCUGGGCCGUACCUGACACUAAUACGCGACAGCAUGGGGAGCGAACG
rnacentral:rRNA from 1 species